rnacentral:rRNA from 1 species
UGAGGUCAAGCUACAAAGGGCUCACGGUGGAUACCUAGGCACACAGAGGCGACGAAGGACGUGGUUACCGACGAAACGCCCCGGGGAGCUGGAAACAAGCAUUGAUCCGGGGGUAUCCGAAUGGGGCAACCCUGCGAAUGAUUACCUGAAUAUAUAGGGUAGAGCAAGCCAACCCAGUGAACUGAAACAUCUUAGUAGCUGGAGGAAGAGAAAGUAAGAACGAUUCCCCAAGUAGCGGCGAGCGAACGGGGAGAAGCCUAAACCAGUCUUUACGGAGACUGGGGUUGUGGGACAGUGAGAUGUAUCAAGGACUUUAGACGAAGCAGUUGAAAGCUGCACCAUAGUGGGUGAAAGUCCCGUAGUCGAAAGAGGAAUUGAGCUAACUGUAUCCCGAGUAGCACGGGCCCCGUGGAAUCCCGUGUGAAUCAUCGAGGACCACCUCGAAAGGCUAAAUACUCCUGUGUGACCGAUAGCGAAAAGUACCGCGAGGGAAAGGUGAAAAGAACCCCGGAAGGGGAGUGAAAUAGAACAUGAAACCGUGAGCUUACAAGCAGUGGGAGUCCGAUUAAACGGAUGACCGCGUGCCUGUUGAAGAAUGAGCCGGCGACUUAUAGGGUCUGGCAGGUUAAGGCGGGAAUGCCGAAGCCAAAGCGAAAGCGAGUCUGAAUAGGGCGUUAGUCAGAUUUUAUAGACCCGAACCCGGGUGAUCUAACCAUGUCCAGGAUGAAGCUUGGGUGACACCAAGUGGAGGUCCGAACCGACUUCUGUUGAAAAAGGAGCGGAUGAGGUGUGGUUAGGGGUGAAAUGCCAAUCGAACUCGGAGCUAGCUGGUUCUCCCCGAAAUAUGUUGAGGCAUAGCGGUUGGUGUUUAAGACGUGGGGUAAAGCACUGUUUCGGUGCGGGCUGGGAGACUGGUACCAAAUCGAGACAAACUCAGAAUACGCGUUGUAUAGCCAGCCAGUCAGACGGUGGGGGAUAAGCUUCAUCGUCAAGAGGGAAACAGCCCAGACCAUCAGCUAAGGUCCUUAAGUCAUGACUAAGUGAUAAAGGAGGUGGGAAUGCCGAGACAACCAGGAGGUUUGCCUAGAAGCAGCCAUCCUUGAAAGAGUGCGUAAUAGCUCACUGGUCAAGCGUUCCUGCGCCGAAAAUGAACGGGGCUAAGUCAUGUACCGAAGCUAUGGAUUUGCAUAACGACCUCUAUUGUGAUGGAUGACAUUAGUUAUCGAUGAUAGAUAGAGAGUCACCUACUAUGUGAGUGGUAGGGGAGCGUUCUGUGGAGUGUGAAGCGUUAGCGAGAGCAGGCGUGGACGAAACAGAAGUGAGAAUGUCGGCUUGAGUAGCGAAAAUGUGGGUGAGAAUCCCACACCCCGAAACCCUAAGGGUUCCUCCGGAAGGCUCGUCCGCGGAGGGUUAGUCGGGACCUAAGGCGAGGCCGAAAGGCGUAGUCGAUGGCCAACGGGUGAAUAUUCCCGUACAGGCUAUGUAUUGUGAAGAGGGACGGAGACAGCUAAGCCAGCCGGAUAAUGGAUACCGGUUCAAGCGAACGAGGUGUUGAGAGACGGAGAAAACGUCUUGAGCUGAGUCGUGAAUAGGAGUUGCUACGGCGACGAAGUGGCUGAUGUUAAGCUUCCAAGAAAAGCUCUAACCACGUUAAUGCAUAGUUUCCCGUACCCGAAACCGACACAGGUAGGGUGGUAGAGAAUACCGAGGGGCGCGAGAUAACUCUCUCUAAGGAACUCGGCAAAAUGGCCCCGUAACUUCGGGAUAAGGGGUGCCACUGAGAGGUGGCCGCAGUGAAGAGUCCCAGGCGACUGUUUACCAAAAACACAGGUCUCCGCGAAGUCGAAAGACGAAGUAUGGGGGCUGACGCCUGCCCAGUGCCGGAAGGUUAAGGAAGUUGGUCAGACUUUUCGGAGUUAAAGCUAGCGACUGAAGCCCCGGUGAACGGCGGCCGUAACUAUAACGGUCCUAAGGUAGCGAAAUUCCUUGUCGGGUAAGUUCCGACCCGCACGAAAGGCGUAACGAUCUGGGAGCUGUCUCGGAGAGAGACUCGGCGAAAUAGGAAUGUCUGUGAAGAUACGGACUACCCGCACUUGGACAGAAAGACCCUAUGAAGCUUUACUGUAGUUUGGUAUUGGGUUCGGGCUUUAGUUGCGCAGGAUAGGUGGGAGACUUAGAGAUGACACUUGUGGGUGUUAUGGAGUCACUGGUGAGAUACCACCCUGCUAGAGCUAGGAUUCUAACUUUGAGCCAUCAUCUGGCCAAAGGACGUUAUCAGAUGGGCAGUUUGACUGGGGCGGUCGCCUCCUAAAAAGUAACGGAGGCGCGCAAAGGUUCCCUCAGGCUGGUUGGAAAUCAGCCAUCGAGUGUAAAAGCAAAAGGGAGCUUGACUGCGAGACCUACAAGUCGAGCAGGUACGAAAGUAGGCUUUAGUGAUCCGACGGUACUGUGUGGAAGGGCCGUCGCUCAACGGAUAAAAGUUACUCUAGGGAUAACAGGCUGAUCUCCCCCAAGAGUUCACAUCGACGGGGAGGUUUGGCACCUCGAUGUCGGCUCAUCGCAACCUGGGGCUGAAGUCGGUCCCAAGGGUUGGGCUGUUCGCCCAUUAAAGCGGUACGUGAGCUGGGUUCAGAACGUCGUGAGACAGUUCGGUCCAUAUCCGGUGCGGGCGUAAGAACAUUGAGAGGAAUUCUCCCUAGUACGAGAGGACCGGGAGGAACACACCGCUGGUGUACCUGUUAUCGUGCCAACGGUAAACGCAGGGUAGCUAAGUGUGGAGAGGAUAACCGCUGAAAGCAUCUAAGUGGGAAGCCCACCUCAAGAUGAGUGUUCUCAUGGGUCAACCCAGUAAGGCCACGGGAAGAACACCCGUUGAUAGGCGAUAGGUGGAAGUGCAGCAAUGUAUGGAGCCAAGUCGUACUAAUAGGCCGAGGGCUUGUCCUCA